UCAUGUUCAGAGCCAGGUGGGUUUACGAGCAUCCAUCAGUUCGGUGGAUGCUACUGAAAUCCACGGUUUCAUCCUAGC
rnacentral:precursor_RNA from 1 species